rnacentral:rRNA from 1 species
UACAGAGGGUGCUAGCGUUGUUCGGAAUCAUUGGGCGUAAAGGGCGUGUAGGCGGUUUGUUAAGUCAUGUGUGAAAUCCCUCGGCUCAACCGGGGAACGACGCAUGAAACUGGCAAGCUAGAGUACCAAAGAGGGGGGGUGGAAUUCCUGGUGUAGCGGUGAAAUGCGCAGAUAUCAGGAGGAACACCGGUGGCGAAGGCGGGUCUCUGGGCCGUAACUGACGCUGAGGAGCGAAAGCGUGGGGAGCGAACAGG